rnacentral:tRNA from 1 species
GGUGGCUCAGUGGUAGAGUGCUUGGCUUUGCAUGCCUGAGGCCCUGGGUUCGAUUCCUCAGCACCA